rnacentral:rRNA from 1 species
CCUACGGGAGGCAGCAGUGAGGAAUAUUGGUCAAUGGACGAGAGUCUGAACCAGCCAAGUAGCGUGAAGGAUGACUGCCCUAUGGGUUGUAAACUUCUUUUAUAUGGGAAUAAAACGUUCCACGUGUGGGAUUUUGUAUGUAUAAUUUGAAUAAGGAUCGGCUAACUACGUGCCAGCAGCCGCGGUAAUACGGAGGAUCCGAGCGUUAUCCGGAUUUAUUGGGGUUAAAGGGAGCGUAGGUGGAGUGUUAAGUCAGUUGUGAAAGUUUGCAGCUCAACCGUAAAAUUGCAGUUGAAACUGGCAGUCUUGAGUACAGUAGAGGUGGGCGGAAUUCGUGGUGUAGCGGUGAAAUGCGUAGAUAUCACGAAGAACACCGAGUGCGAAGGCAGUUCACUGGACUGCAACUGACACUGAGGCUCGAAAGUGUGGGUAUCAAACAGGAUUAGAUACCCCAGUAGUC